AGCGGGGAAUCCUGGAACCACUUGGUAAACACCCGCCGUUUUCCCCUACAGAGAGUGAUACGGCGAUCGUGUACCUUGCUAUUAUAUCGACAUGAAGAGUAUUGUGCAUCCUUGUAUUACAUGAGCUAGAUCAGAUUCCAGAAUAAGAAGUGGAGUCUUUACACAGUAAUAUGUCCCUGCUUCUUGGAACAAGGAACAUAGGAUGUCUUCUGUCUUGAUGCCAACCAAGUGUCAUUGGAAAGAUUCAGGAAAAACCUAAAGGUGGAGGAAGAUACAUUUGUUUCUCGUUUCUAGUUUGGUACAUUGGUAAAAGGAAACGACAUAUGACCUAUUACUUCAGAUCAAUUAUUUUCACAAGUGGAGAUUGAUUCCGCAAUCUUCCACUUCUCAGGCAGACUCCCAUCCAGAAAGCCAGGGAUUGCAGAGUCAGAGAACAAUGUGUGGAAUCUGAUAUUCAAGCCCUUGAAACCCCAGCUGCCCUUCUGCUUCAACAAGGAUAUAAAGCAAUUCUAAUUUCAGGAGGUAAACAUUGAAACCAAAAACAAAUCGGGAAUUUUUUUGUUGGAUUUUUUGUUUAAUGUUAUUGUUAAACCUAACGUGUGAAAACAUGGAAGUGUUUACAUAUGUUUAGGGUCAAGUUUCUGAAAUGGUUGAGUCAAAUAUAAAUUUUACAUUACUUUUGAACAGGUCCCAGUGGGGCAUCCCAGUUUACGCAGCGGAUGCCCCACUAUACUUCCCAGCAAUCUUUACUGGCCGUCUUCCAGUGCCGGGAAUUUGUUAUGCAUGCAAUUAAUCAACAAUGCAUUAGGUGGAACGGUGGAGAGAAAAGAUGUUAGCGAAGAUGGGUAAUUCAAGAACCAAGUAGAAACGGAGUGCCCAUUGUUUAAAGGCUUAGAGACUCUGCAAAUGGUAUUGCUGAUCCAUGAUGACAGCGUAGACAAGAUUGCAGAAGGGUUGCGUUGCGUCGCAAAAUGUUCGCGUCAUAUUAUUUCCGCUAUUGCUGAUACUGAACGCCGUCUUUACGGAGUCAAGUUCCAUGAUUUGAUUGAAAACGGACGAAAAAUGUUGCAUAACUUCUUGUUCGACAUCUGUGGAUUGCAAGAAGGUUUCACAUCGAUCUUCAAAGGUAAAUCAGAAGAGGGUAUUCUUUUCCUUGACAAGAAUUGUGGAAUCUGAUGGAAAUCAAAUAUCGAAGAUGGAUGAGGUGAAGGAAAUACCGGUUGCUUCUGUGUCUUAAAAUUCUGCUCCCAUUUGUGCUUCUGGUUGCUAUAACAUUGAACGUUUUUGCUCUGCCCAGUUGCCGUGAAAUGCCCAAAGUUUCAUCGUGGAUGAACGUAAUCUCUAAACUUAAGAAAGUAGUAUUUUUUUUAUUGUGUCUCUUCAGAUUUCGUUCUAGUUUGCAUAUUGUCACGGUUAUUUGAGGCCCCAUGGACUAGUUGUCACGUCCGGCGCUUCUGUAUCGGCUAUUGACCGCAACUCUACCCGAGAUGUCCGGCAGUCUUGUCAGCAGAUAUUUCUCCCGGUAGCUGCUGUCUACGU